AGGCCAGACUCCUACGGGAGGCAGCAGUGGGGAAUAUUGCACAAUGGGGGGAACCCUGAUGCAGCGACGCCGCGUGGGUGAAGAAGUCAUUCGUGCCGAAAAGCCCUAUCAGCAGGGAAGAAAAUGACGGUACCUGACUAAGAAGCCCCGGCUAACUACGUGCCAGCAGCCGCGGUAAUACGUAGGGGGCAAGCGUUAUCCGGAUUUACUGGGUGUAAAGGGAGCGUAGACGGCGGCGCAAGUCCGGAGUGAAAGCCCCCGGCCCAACCGUGGGACUGCUCUGGAAACUGUGCGGCUUGAGUGCGGGAGGGGCAGGCGGAAUUCCUGGUGUAGCGGUGAAAUGCGUAGAUAUUAGGAGGGACACCGGCGGCGAAGGCGGCCUGCUGGA
rnacentral:rRNA from 1 species